rnacentral:rRNA from 1 species
GCGGCACUAGCGCGGUGGUCCCACCUGACCCCAUGCCGAACUCAGAAGUGAAACGCCGUAGCGCCGAUGGUAGUGUGGGGUCUCCCCAUGCGAGAGUAGGGAACUGC